ensembl:lncRNA
CUGCAUGAAUCCUGGCUGGAGAAAGAACGUCAUGCCCUGGGAAGCAUGAUGAUACUUCUGGACCAUAUAUGUAUGUACUUAUAUGGGCUGAUUAGCUGCCCUGGGCUGAGGGAGCAUCUGGACGGAAAACACAACACUCCUGGCAAAGAGGAAAGGUCCAAGGUCCGUCGCCUACUCCACUUCGGUGACUCCAGCCUGUGGGUAAUUCAGUUCCUCCCCAUCCUCAUGGCUCUGCUCUGUUACUUAGCGAUGUCGCUCCUCUACCUUCAACAGCCUGUGUAUCUCUGCCCCCCUUUCCUUUUGCAUCUGUCUCAUGCUGCUGAUCCUCAACUUUCAUUUCUCACUGGCAUUACCUGGGACCAUUUAAAACUCCUGCUAGCUGGAUCCCACCUCCAGAGAUUCUGAUUCAGAUGGUCGGGCAUGGUCCCCGGACAGUUACCAGGUAGUUCUUGUGUGCAUUGUACCAAUGACUGCGAAUCACAGCGGUCUUCCAACUCCUGAGUUCCCUCCUCUAAUUUAUCCUUCAUGCUGCAGCCAGUUAUCUUUUUUUCUAAAACACAAAGCCGACCAUGUCACAGGCCUCCUUAAACCUCCACUCUGGGUCGCCAUUGCCUUCAGGAUAAACCUUAACUCCUCAGCAUGACACAAGGGGAGCAGCGCAUGGAAGAUGCAGUUGGGAGGGAGGCAGGACCUGAUCAUGCAGGACCUGGACCCUUGGGCUGACUACUUACACUGCCUCCAUGCAUGUCCACCAUGCUCUUUGGCCAUAGCAUCUUUUAAGCUCAUUUAAAAACUACUUACUGAGGAGUUUCCAUCAUGGCUCAGCAGAAAUGCAUCUAAUUAGCGUCCAUGAAGACACAGGUUCGAUCUCUGGCUUGCUCAGUGGGUUAAGGAUCUGACGUUGACAUGAGCUGUGGUGUAGGUCACAAACACGGCUCGGAUCCCAUGUUGCUAUGGCUGUGGUAUAGGCCAGAAGCUAUAGCUCUGAUUUGACCCCUAGCCUGGGAACCUCCAUAUGCUGUAGGUGCAGCCCUAAAAAGACAAAAAAAAAAAAAAAAAACCACAAAAAACAAAAAGAAAUUACUUACUGAGCACCUAUUAAAUGGCAGGCAAUAGGAAUCAAUGAUGAGUAAAUUAAUCACAGUCACAGCCUUGUGCUCCAGAGCUCCUAGGCUAGAUCACUGCAGUGACUUCAGUCACUCUCCCCCAGACCAGGUAGAAUGGACCAUACCUAUCCUUGUACCUACCUUGUAACCUGAAUUUUCUUUUUUCUUUUUGGCUGUGGCAUGCAGCAGCUUGAUGUGGGAUCUCAGUUCCUAGACCAGGGGUUGAACCCAGGUCACAGUGGUGAAAGUGGCAAAUCCUAACCGCUGGACCACCAGGGACCAUCCCCCCACCCCGCAACUCAUAACUUGAAUAUGCUUUGACUCUAACAUACAUCACCUUUGUUAUUUGUUUGUAUAUAACUUUCUAAAAACCAUAGCAUCAGUGCCUUGAGGUCAAGAAUCAUACUGCUUUCACUGUUUUAUAUACAACACCAAGCAGAGGGUCAAUACAUACUAGAGGCUCAAUAAGCAGUUUGCUGAAUGACAGCAAAAGGAAGAAUGAUUGAGUCUGACUCCCCAGAAGUACUUGAGUGCCUUGAAUUUCACUCCCUUCAUCUGUUAAUAAUCCCACAAUUCUGGGAGUUCCCAUUGUGGCUUAGCAGGUUAACAACUUGACUAAUCUCUAUAAUGAUGUGGGUUCAAUCCCUGGCCUUGCUCAGUGGGUUAUGGAUCUGGCAUUGCUGCAAGGUGUGGUGUGGAUCGCAGAUGUGGCUCAGAUCCUGUGUGGCUGUGGCUGUGGCAUGGGCUGGCAGCUGUGGCUCUGCUUCAGCCCCUAGCAUGGGAACUUCCAUAUGUCACAGAGGCAGCCCUAAAAAUACAAAACAAACAAACCAAAAAAUCCCACAAUUCUUUGCUUUCCACUAGAAUAAAUAAAUUAUGGAAGAUGUGUUCA